GCAGAUCGCAGCCCAGAGUCUGCGGAGGCGCACCGUUUCAUCAACAGCAGGGACUGAAACCAGCCCAGGAGAAGGCAAGAUGGCACCGUUAUCGCACCCUGGGAAUCGAGGACCGGGAAGAACUUAUUGAUGCGAUUCCUCCCGUGAUCUCAGUGAUUGUAUCAGGCGAAAACGAGGAGGGCAAAAUACCGUCCAAAUGUAAACAAGGAGCAGCCGCACCAGCAGCACCAGCAGAAUGCCGCGGUAGUGCGGCAGGCCCUGGCCCCAUGGACAAAGAGAAACUCGUCAGUGGCAGUGGCCACGAACUCAGAAAGCCUGAGGACAGUCAGCAGCUCCUCUGGCUCUUCACUUUCACACUGGUGCAACUACAGGAGCUGAAGAACAUUUUUCAACUCGUUCCAUACCCGGACGUGUUAGGAUCAGAUUCAUCAUUGGACUCCUGGACCUAUCACUGCGGACCUCAAAUGUGCACCUUUUAAGCCCUUUCCUUCACUCCUGACUGAUUGAUUUGGGAUCCACUGCUAAGUCAGACUUUUGAACCAUUGUUCCAGGCAAACUUCUGUUAAAGCUGGU
rnacentral:antisense_RNA from 1 species